CACGUAGGCAACCUGCCCACAAGACAGGGAUAACUACCGGAAACGGUAGCUAAUACCCGAUACAUCCUUUUCCUGCAUGGGAGAAGGAGGAAAGGCGGAGCAAUCUGUCACUUGUGGAUGGGCCUGCGGCGCAUUAGCUAGUUGGUGGGGUAAAGGCUUACCAAGGCGACGAUGCGUAGCCGACCUGAGAGGGUGAUCGGCCACACUGGGACUGAGACACGGCCCAGACUCCUACGGGAGGCAGCAGUAGGGAAUCUUCCGCAAUGGGCGAAAGCCUGACGGAGCAACGCCGCGUGAGUGAUGAAGGUUUUCGGAUCGUAAAGCUCUGUUGCCAGGGAAGAACGUCUUGUAGAGUAACUGCUACAAGAGUGACGGUACCUGAGAAGAAAGCCCCGGCUAACUACGUG
rnacentral:rRNA from 1 species